UUCGGUUGUAAGUGUUUUGUUUUCAAGAAAGGUGUUCGUUUAGCUAAAUUUGAACAUAAAACUUAUGAGGGCAUAUUUGUUUGGUUUUGCUUCUAACCCCCAUGCUUAUAGAGUCAACAACAAAUCCAUUGGAAUUGCUAAAGAAUCUUGUAGCAUGAAGUUUGAUGAGAAUAAUGGCUCCCAUGUGGGACAAGUUGAUCUUGUUGAUGUAGAUGUUGAAAUUCCUCCCCAAGCCCUACGAAGAAUGGUCAUAGGUCAAAUCAUGCUCAUUGAGGAACCCCGUGUGGAAGAAGGAGAAGAACAAUGCUCUACUCAAGUGGAGCCCUCACCUACACAAGAUCCACAAGCAAGUCAAGAACAAGAACAAGUCCCUCAUGUUGGUGACCAAGUUG
rnacentral:lncRNA from 1 species